GAUGAAGAACGUAGCGAAAUGCGAUAAGUAAUGUGAAUUGCAGAAUUCCGUGAAUCAUCGAAUCUUUGAACGCACAUUGCGCCCUUUGGUAUUCCUUAGGGCAUGCCUGUUCGAGCGUCAUUUGAAACCUCAAGCUCAGCUUGGUGUUGGGUGUCUGUCCCCGCCUCACCGCGGGGACUCGCCUCAAAAUCAUUGGCGGCCGGUACGUUGGCUUCGAGCGCAGCAGAAACGCGAACUCGAGGCCCGGCGGAUCGGCGACCAGAAGUCACUUCUUCACAGUUUGACCUCGGAUCAGGUAGGGAUACCCGCUGAACUUAAGCAUAUCAAUAAGCGGAGGA
rnacentral:misc_RNA from 1 species